CUAAUGAAAAAGUCUACUGUAAUACAGAUAUUGCUGGACUUCUUUGUUCGCUAUUGAGUUUUUACCUUCGACGAUUUUGCAGUGAAUAAGAUUGAUCGGUAAUCAAGAAAGAAAGAGAGAGAGAACACUGGAGUUCAUUGUGACCCUAUUAAAGAAGUCUACUGUGAUGCAAUUCUUCCUGGACUUUUACACGUUCUCUGUUGAUCUUCCACAUGGACGAUUUUGCAGUAAAUUAAGAUUGUCCCACAAAUGAGAAGGAAUUGCAGUUAAUUUUGAUGCUACUGAAACAACCGAUGCUUUUUGAUUGGAAGCGACUAGUAGAACAAUUUGUCUGCAGUGGUAUCCCUCCUAGUUUGGUUUACUCAUCACACUGGCAGACUUUAGAACGCCAUUUUCUACAAUUAAUUAAGGUUAUACAAUAAAUGAGAGAAUUAAUGUUCAGUUUGGUUAUA
rnacentral:lncRNA from 1 species